AUACUUACCUGGACGGGAUCAAUAAGUGAUCAAAAAGGCUCAUGGUCUAGGUUGGUGACCUCCAUUGCACACAGGAGGGGUGCCUGCCUAAGGUCGGCCCAAGUGGUCGAGCCUACGUCAUAAUUUGUGACAGUGGGGGCCAACGUUCGCGCGGCCCUUUC